UAUCUCAGGCUAUAGAAGUAGCUAACAAGUGUUGGAAGUCAAUAAAAACCCUAAGAAUACCAGUAAUGUUUCCACGCCUUUUAGAAGCCAAUCUACUGUCACUUCAAUUCCAUAUCAAACCAAUUACUCAAACCAGUAUGCCAAACCAUAUCAAACCUAUAAAAUCCUCCAAGACCACCCAAUCUUGACAAAUCCAAUCCGGCAACAAUUAAUACUCAGUCCAGUACCAACUUUCCCAAACCACCACCUGCUAAACCAACAAAUUCUUCUUCAAA
rnacentral:misc_RNA from 1 species